CAACCAGCAAUGUGAAUUCUGGUACAUCAUUUUUAUGGCCCAAAAGAUAAAACAACAUGUGUUAGAAGAACCCUUUAGAAGUUCCAGCCUAUGCACAGGGUGUGCAUUCCAUGAACACCUUGGCUGUAGCCUGUGUGAAAAGGCACAAGCUCCUCUUGAACUUCUGCUGAUCUCUGGCCCUUCCUCUAGCAAUCAACGACAUUGUUUAAUUUUUUGGACAGUACCCACAUCACUGAUGGGCACUUCAUAAACACAAGUAAAUCCAUCCUGGCAGACUUCAUGUCUAAUUUUACAAUGUGGUUUUCUGUGUCAGAUGGCUACACUUUUUCCUAACUGUUCCAACAGCAGCACCCAGCAUGAUUCAGGUUUAUUCUCCUAUCCAUCAUACAUCUGUGCAUUCAAAAUAACCAACUCAGCUAUCUGCAGGGCUGUACAGUGCUCCUGAAGCAGCAGGAGUGACUCACUGCAACUUCCCUGAAUUGCUCUGGAGAAGCAGCCUGCUUAUCUGUGAUGCUUGUCCUGCUUCUGCUCCUCUCAGAGGGAAUGUUCAGGAAAAACAUCUGGAGCUGCUGGGUGAGAAGAAAACUAUAUCAGCAAUUGAUUUGAGUGGGAAUAACAGUUGUGGAUGGGAGGUCAAGACUAUGAAAGAAAACUCCAACACUUGAUUUGGAGGAGCAGGACAAUUCAAUUCUCUAUCAAGGAAAUCAGGAGGAGGCAUUUCCUCAGGGAGAUAUUGAUGGAAUGCUGAUACUUGCCUGCUUUUCCAGCAGUGGCUGUGGGCCAGCCCUGUGGCUCAAGCCCAGCAGCUGAGCAGGGUCCUGUGAGUGACUCCCUGCCCUGGGCAGGUGCUCUGCUCUGAGCCAGUUCUACUGCUGCUCAUCUCAGCAGCAGGGCCAGAGGUGUGAGCAGGAGGAGCAGCCAUGGGCACCAGGGUCUGGAGGCACGGGCAGCCAGCAGGGAUGGAGGUCAUUCCUGAUGGACAUUGCUCCUUGUGGCACCUUCCUGGCAAGCUGCAUUUACC